rnacentral:rRNA from 1 species
AAGCUCGUAGUUGAAUUUCGGGAUCAGUGUUUCGGUCAUGCCGUUGGUAUGUACUGAUAUUAUUGAUUUCUCACCUUCUAAAGAACCGUAAUGCCAUUAAUUUGGUGUCACGGGGAAUUAGGACUGUUACCUUGAAAAAAUUAGAGUGUUUAAAGCAGGCUCACGCUUGAAUACAUUAGCAUGGAAUAAUGAAAUAGGACAUCCGAUUCUAUUUUGUUGGUUUCUAGGAUCGAUGUAAUGAUUAAUAGGGAUAGUUGGG